UCCUACGGGAGGCAGCAGUCGGGAAUUAUGCGCAAUGGACGAAAGUCUGACGCAGCAACGCCGCGUGAGGGAUGACGGCCUUCGGGUUGUAAUCCUCUUCAGGGACGAUGAUGACGGUACCUGACGAAUAAGUCACGGCUAACUACGUGCCAGCAGCCGCGGUAAUACGUAGGUGACAAGCGUUGUCCGGAUUUACUGGGCGUAAAGAGCGCGCAGGCGGUCGAUCAAGUCGAGUGUGAAAGCCCCCCGCUCAACUGGGGAGGGUCAUUCGAAACUGGUCGACUCGAAGGCAGGAGAGGGUAGUGGAAUUCCCCGGUGUAGUGGUGAAAUGCGUAGAUAUCGGGAGGGAACACCAGUGGCGAAGGCGACUACCUGGCCUGUUCUUGACGCUGAGGCGCGAAAGCUAGGGGAGCAAACGGGAUUAGAUACCCCGGUAGUCCUAGCCGUAAACGAUGGACACUAGGUGUUGGUGGUAUCAACCCCGCCAGUGCCGAAGCUAACGCAUUAAGUGUCCCGCCUGGGGAGUACGGCCGCAAGGCUAAAACUCAAAGGAAUUGACGGGGGCCCGCACAAGCAGCGGAGCGUGGGGUAUAAUUCGACGCAACGCGAAGAACCUUACCAGGGCUUGACAUGACCAGGAUCCCGGCGGAAACGUCGGUUCCCCGCAAGGGGCCUGGCCACAGGUGUUGCAUGGC
rnacentral:rRNA from 1 species